CCUACGGAGGCCGCAGUGGUGAAUCUUGGACAAUGGGCGCAAGCCUGAUCCAGCCAUGCCGCGUGAGUGAAGAAGGCCUUAGGGUUGUAAAACUCUUUCGCCGGUGAAGAUAAUGACGGUACCCGGAGAAGAAGCCCCGGCUCACUUCGUGCCAGCAGCCGCGGUAAUACGAAGGGGGCUAGCGUUGUUCGGAAUUACUGGGCGUAAAGCGCACGUAGGCGGGUUGGGAAGUAGGGGGUGAAAUCCCAGGGCUCAACCCUGGAACUGCCUUCUAGACUGCAAGGCUGGAGGUCAGGAGAGGGGAGUGGAAUACCGAGUGUAGAGGUGAAAUGCGUAGAUAUUCGGUGGAACACCAGUGGCGAAGGCGACUCGCUGGACUGAUACUGACGCUGAGGUGCGAAAGCGUGGGGAGCAAACA
rnacentral:rRNA from 1 species